rnacentral:lncRNA from 1 species
CAGGCACUGCUUCAGGGGCUGCAGCAGAUGCUGCUUCAAGUGACGCACCAUGCACUCUGCCACUCGCCAGCCCAGACUCAUCCCACUUGAAGGAGGCUACAGAUAAAGGCGAUGAGAAAGACAGUGCAUCUCCAUGUAAUUUGAAGAAAAAGGAAAAGAAAACUAAGAAGGAAAAAAAGAAAGAAAGGAAAGAGAAGAAGGAAAAAAUCAAGAAAGCCAAGCAAGCAGCUGUCACAGAUGCUCCUCAAGUCAAGCAAGGCAACCCAAGGAAGGGCCUCCCCACAUCUGCUAUUCCAAAGCCUGUGAGACGCAAGGUCUCUCUGUUGCUGCCCCAUAGAAGAGACGUCCCACUGAUUCCGCCACAGCCCCCAGGACUAUAUUUCCGAAUCACUACAGAAGAUUUUGACUUAGAAAAGAAAACUGCCAUGCAGUGGAUCAACAAGGUCUUGAAGGAUGAUGGAGCUAAGGCCCGGCGUAAUUAAGUGAUCCAAGGAUGGCCCACAUGUCACUGGAUGCAUAAUACUGCUCUUUAAGCCUGAGCAACCAGUUUCUGUACUCUGUUCAUGUAGUAUAAUGUCACAUUCUAUUUAGAGCCAUUUUGAUACUUAAAUAAGAUUGUUACCCAGAAUGCUUGUUAUAUCAUCUGAUUUAUACUCGAGUGUGAUACAUUCUCUCUCUCUCUUGGUUUUUCGAGACAGGGUUUCUCUGUAUUGCUUUGGAGGUUGUCCUGGAACUUGCACUGUAGACGAGGCUGGCCUCAAACUCAGAGAGAUCCACCUGCCUCUGCCUCCCAAGGGCUGGGAUUAAAGACGUGCGACACCAACGCCCAGUGAUACAUUAUCUCUUAAUAUGAUUAUGUGCCCCCCCCGUUGGUCACAGCUAUGACCCACACAACCCCUUGGAAGCAAGUCUUCCCAAUUUCCCUUGCUCAUCCUGAGGAUGGUCAUUUGUUGCUGAGGGUUCUGACUCAGAAUGUUCUUUGACCCUUCAUGCCUCAGGAC